UACAUUACUCUUGGCCAGGCUCCUACCCCAGCCAUGCUGCACCCUUGAUGCUCUCACUCAGCUCAGGGCACCUCCUCUUUUCUCUCCCUGUUCAUGCACAGGUGCAGGAGUCACAGCUUUUUAAGAGGAGGGAAGCAGUUCUUACUGGCUUUCUGCCCCAGCCUGGCCUGUUUCUGUCCUCUCCACUGCUGUCCCUGGGGCAGUGCAUCUCAGAAAUCCGGAACUACGUGCUUGAAUUCUUUACUGGGAAGUGAACUUGCAGACAGCUGCGAGAAGGCUAGGUAGCCAUCUAACCACAUAUAUGGGAAAUGGAGGAUUAAAGGAUACAGCUCUAGUAGCAAAUGCACAGAACUAUCAUGACUAUUUCUAUUUGUGAACAUGGUUACCUGCAAAUACAUUGUGAAAUGCAUACUCAAAGCACUGAAACAAAUGCCUUAUGCCAUCACAAGGCUCUGUUUAGUUACAAAACCUCUGUC